GACGAACGCUGGCGGCGUGCUUAACACAUGCAAGUAGAACGGAAAGGCCCGGCUUUUGUUGGUUGCUCGAGUGGCGAAAGGGUGAGAAACACGCGAGUAACCUCCCCUUGACUUUGGGAUAACAUCAUGGAACUGGGGCUAAUACCGGACAGGAGAUCCUACAGCAUGGUGUGGGUUUGAAAGUUUCGGCGGUUGGGGAUGAACUCGAGGCUUAGCGGCUUGUAGGUGAGGUAGUGGCUUACCAAGGCGUUGACGGGUAGCCGGCCUGAGAGUGUGACCGGGCACAGUGGGAUUGAGAUGGGACCCAGACUGAAACGGGAGGCAGGGGUGGGGAAUAUUGCACUAUGCGCCGAAGCCGGGCGCAGCAACUCCGCGUCGGGGAUGACUGCUUUCGGGUAGUAACGCGUGUUCGACUGUGACGAAGAGUGAGUGACGGUAACGGGUAAAGAAGCACCGGCUAACUACGUG
rnacentral:rRNA from 1 species